AAAGGGGACCGAUUCGUAAACCCGUAUACACCGUCAUUAGCCAAAUACACAACAAAACGAUAUCGUUCGGAAUCAUAACAAAGGUUCCAUAAUUCCGUUACCCUAUUGGGACUGGGAACGUUCCCUCAUGAACCACACUCAGGUGUCCAGGUUUCUCCUUAGCAAGCGAAGAACGUGAACAAUAUUUGCAGCACAUAAUCGUUAUCCUUCGUAUAAUCAAGGGCCAUCUUAAAUGUCAGGGAGAAAGCGUUAUCCUCGUGGGCCCUAUGACAACCGGCAUGGGCAUCUCCGAGGAGUGGCUCCAUCACGGGGCCCUAUGCCACGUCAUCCUGCCAUGUUGGAGGAGGAACUUGAAAUGCAACAUCAUGAAAUCCGCAGACUUUUGGGUGAAAAUAGGCGCUUAGCUGAAGAUCGAAUUGCUCUGCAACAAGAGUUGGGUGAUGCCAGAGAGGAACUUAGGCGAAUGAAUAUUGCAAUUGCUGAUAUUCAAGAAGAUAAUGAAAUACACUCAAGGCAGCUUAUUGAAAACAAUUUGAAACUAGAAGCUGAUUUACUUGCCACUGAACCUAUAAAAAACGAGGCUUCACAACUCCAUGUGGAAAUUGAGAGGCUAAAUUCAUUAAGGCGUGAUUUAUCUGGGCAAGUUCAGAUUCUCAAGAAAGACCUUGCAAAAUUUCAAGGAGAUAACAAGCAUCUUCCGGGUUUAAGAGCAGAGCAUGAAGGACUUCACAAUGAGCUUAUGCAUGCUAGAGCUGCAAUUGAUUAUGAGAAGAAAGGAGGUAUAGAGAUGAUGGAACAAAGACAAGCUAUGGAGAAGAAUUUGGUUUCCAUGGCGCGUGAAGUUGAAAAGCUUCGAGCAGAACUUUCAAAUACUGAUGUUGGAUCAUGGGGUGCUGGUGGGUCAUAUGGGAUGAAAUUUGGCAGUUCAGAUGGUCAUUUUCCUCCUCCUUAUGGGGAUGGAUAUGGGGUUCACCUGGGUGCUGGGGACAAGGGUCCGUUGUAUGGCUCAAGUUCUGCUUCAAGGGCUGGGCUUGAGAAAUCUCGCAUGACACGUCAUUGAAAUGUGGAUUGUUUGUGUUCCAGUUUGAAGAAAGACAUAUUUUCUUCAACAUUAUGGUUCCUCCUAGUGCACUGUCCACCAUUUUUUAAUGGAGAAAUUGAUAACCAGUUUAUAAGGAAAGAUUCUGGAAAAGUGAAGAGGAAAAUCAAGGAGGGGUCCAUAACAUUGUGAAGAUUGUUUAUGAAGACUAAAGAGUUUGAUUUCUCCUGUUGAUUUGCUGCAGCACUUUGGGCAACCUAUAUGCAGUCUCAUGUACCUUGUUUUGGUGCGAUCUUUUGCUGUUUAUUUCUUCAUCUAAUAAUGCUGUGAUAUAGCCACGAAGACCAGAUGUUCAUUUUGCAUUAUUGGCUAGCUUGAAGGAAGGUUGACAUAGCGUUUGAUGUGGGGCUGUGUUCACAAUGUACUUUAUGAAGGACUUGGUUCUGGAUGUUGGAAAUACGUUUCUUAAUGGUUUUGGAAGAAUGGAUAUGAUUGUAUUUGAAGUACCGAAACAGAUUGGCAUGAUGCAAUCAUGUGUUAGAACAUCCAUCUAAGUAAUCCUGCGAUUUUUGUCAGCUCCAAUCCUGCAUCAACAUUCAACAAUUUUAAUGUCUUCAUGUGCAUUUGGCAAAUUGAUGGACUUGGUUCUUCUUCAAAUAUAUAUUAAAAAAACUUGCUCUACAACUAAAACUAUUUGAAGGUUGUCUCAAUUUUUCAUUUGCAGCUAUCAUUAAAGGGGCAUGUCCAAUUUCCUCUCUUUUAUUCAUCAAUUUUCAAGUUCUAUCAUAAGAUCAGAUUUCUCACGUAUUUACAUGUAUUCCUCUGUUGAGGCCUGAUUAGAAACAAUCUUCUGAUGUUAUAUGUACAGAAUCUAUUAAAACA